rnacentral:lncRNA from 1 species
UAAACCUUUGCUUCUUUCUCUCUGCCUGGACUCUCAUCUCACAUCUGCUUCCUGCCUUGUCAAUUCCUGCUCAUUCUUCAAAGCCUGCUCAAAUGCCACCACUCUGAAGCCUUGCUUUUCUCUCCCAAAAGCGGCCUUUUGCUGUCCCCAUAAUAAUGCUGUUUGAGUGUUCAUUUCAAGGCACUGCAGCAGAUUGUGUCUAUGACCUGGCCUAGCCCAAUAGCUUCAGGGAAGUGAUUCUACUUUAUUCAUGCAUGUGUUCCUUACAUCUAUGGCCAACUCAUAUCCUGGCAUACAAUGGAUGCUCAAAACAGGUUAUAUGUAUUUUGAAACAGGAAAUCUCGCCAUCCUCACCAAAGCCAUUUCCUUGAGAGGAUUUUAUCUGGUUUGUCUCCUUGACUCCAGGCAGGGCUCCAUUCCAACCAGAUGGAAGAAUGCAGACAUCUCACAUCAUUUACACCCAGAAGGCUGUCAGCAGCAGCGCUCAGGGAGUGAGAGUGUUUAAUCUCGAGGAGGAAAUAGAAUGUAUACACACCCUGCAAACUGAGAUGUUUUACGUUGGCUCUGGCUCCUACCGCCCCCCAUGUGUGGCAGCAGCUACCAAGACUCUACUGUGAAUCCCCAUGACUGCAAUGAGAAUGAACAAAAUGAACAACCUGCAGCAACAUGAAUGGACCUCACAAGGAUAAUGUUGAACAUAAGAAGCCAGGCACAAAAGAGUGCAUAUUUUUGUGUCUGACUCCAUUACAUGAAGUUCAAGAAGAAGAAACAUUAAUGUAUGGUUUUGGAAGGCAGGAUGUGGGGAGGUAGUUGGGGCAUGAGGAGGUUUUGGGGGUACAGGGUGGUGGCAGUGUUUUGCUUCUGGUUCUGGGGGAUGGCUAAGUGUGUGUUCAUUUCAUGUAAGUUCAUAUGCAUUUGUGCAAUUGCCUGUAAAGUUGUCAUACUUCGAUAAUAUUAAAAAUAUGAAAAAUAAAAAUAUAAAGCCCAUAUGGGAGAGCACACUUCUCUGCAUUUUUUUUGCACUUUGGCGAUGAGCUGACAGAGGGGUUGUUAACAAGCACCCUACUUGCUCACUGUGCUUGGUAGGAUCCUCAACCUAGCGAGUCCCACCCCAUUCC